GACGAACGCUGGCGGCGUGCUUAACACAUGCAAGUCGAGCGGUAAGGCCCUUUCGGGGGUACACGAGCGGCGAACGGGUGAGUAACACGUGGGUGACCUGCCUUUAGCUCUGGGAUAAGCCUGGGAAACCGGGUCUAAUACCGGAUAUGACUCCGCGGCGCAUGUUGUGGGGUGGAAAGCCUUGUGCGGCUGGAGAUGGGCCCGCGGCCUAUCAGCUUGUUGGUGGGGUGAUGGCCUACCAAGGCGACGACGGGUAGCCGGCCUGAGAGGGCGACCGGCCACACUGGGACUGAGACACGGCCCAGACUCCUACGGGAGGCAGCAGUGGGGAAUCUUGCGCAAUGCGCGAAAGCGUGACGCAGCAACGCCGCGUGGGGAAGAAGGCCUUCGGUU
rnacentral:rRNA from 1 species